rnacentral:lncRNA from 1 species
GGUCCUCAAUGCUCUUCAACUUCGUAUUUUAUUUGGCCUUUUUAAUUAUUUUGGAUUCGAGCGUCACUGAUGAGUGUUUUGUAGACGAAACGCGCGUCUGGCGUAUAUACAAAAUUUAGUCCUGGUAUCUAUGAUGAGUUAAUUUACAACCACUGGAUCGAUGCCACUGCUGGUGGAGAUUUAUUUUCCCGAGGGUAUCACAAGCCCAGUAGUCAGCACUUUUUGUUGACAUGAAUUAUCAUUGAUAUGGUUAUAUUUACAAAUUAACUGUUUACAAAAUUUUGAAUUUUUGGAAAUUCUAAGGCUUU